rnacentral:lncRNA from 1 species
CUUUCUCCAUCUUGCGGAAUAGGGUCAAAAGGAUUGAUACCAAUUCUUUAAACAUCUGGUAGAAUUCUGCUGUGAAUCCAUCUGGUCCUGGGCUUUUUUUGCUGUUGUUGGUAAUUUUUAAAUUACUGUUUCAAUCUUGCUACUGGUAAUUGGUCUGUUCAGGGUAUCUAAUUGUUUCUGAUUUAAGCUAGGAGGGUUGCCUCCACCAAGAUGUCAUUAUUGGGAGCCCGUGGCUGGGGCACUUUUUCCCACUUUGACUCGUUACUUUUCUACUCCUAACCCUUCCGUCUAUCUUUCCCCCAGCUCCAUGGAGCCAUAAAAUGGCAGAAUAUUUUGUCCAGGAUUCCUCUGCAGUGAGAUGAUUCCCUCCACCUGAUCUGUAUGCCACCUGACCCUCACCUUGUAUCAUUCUGUGAGAAAAAAGGAACACCAAAGAUGAUUUGUUGGUUUUCCAGUGCAAGAGUGAUCCCUCCUUCAUUUUUACCAAAAAGAGAUUUCCUCCAUUUCUGCACUUUUUGCCCUCUGGAAUUUCAUUUGCAAGGGCAGAUAAGGGGAAAAGAAUGUAAUAAGAGAUGAGGAAAAAAAUAAGCCCUUGCUGAAUGAUUGAUAUGAAUGAAGGAACUGAUGGAAUAAAUAACAAAAAUAAGAAGAUCCAGGACUACUCUCAGUCUCUGAAGCAGGUGGGAGCCCUGGCGGUAGCUAUGGAUCCAGUUCAAAGGAAUAUGAAAGGCACUGCUUUCCCAUCAAAAAGAAAUAUUCAUCCACAUAUUGAAAUUUCUUCCAUCACUUUACAUCAAGAAGAUUGAAAGCCCAAGUAAAUGACAUGACAAUGAAAAUGGA